UGGGAUAUACCUCAAUUGGUAGAGUGCUUGCCUUGCAUGCACAAGGCCCUGGAUUCAAUCCCCAGCAUCACAA
rnacentral:tRNA from 1 species